GAGUUUGAUCAUGGCUCAGAUUGAACGCUGGCGGCAGGCCUAACACAUGCAAGUCGAGCGGAUGACGGGAGCUUGCUCCUUGAUUCAGCGGCGGACGGGUGAGUAAUGCCUAGGAAUCUGCCUGGUAGUGGGGGACAACGUUUCGAAAGGAACGCUAAUACCGCAUACGUCCUACGGGAGAAAGCAGGGGACCUUCGGGCCUUGCGCUAUCAGAUGAGCCUAGGUCGGAUUAGCUAGUUGGUGGGGUAAUGGCUCACCAAGGCGACGAUCCGUAACUGGUCUGAGAGGAUGAUCAGUCACACUGGAACUGAGACACGGUCCAGACUCCUACGGGAGGCAGCAGUGGGGAAUAUUGGACAAUGGGCGAAAGCCUGAUCCAGCCAUGCCGCGUGUGUGAAGAAGGUCUUCGGAUUGUAAAGCACUUUAAGUUGGGAGGAAGGGCAGUAAGUUAAGUACCUUGCUGUUUGACGUUACCGACAGAAUAAGCACCGGCUAACUCUGUGCCAGCCGCC
rnacentral:rRNA from 1 species